GGAGGCGUACGCGUUCCUGGUGGGCGCCCCGGUCUUCAAAACCGGUGAGGGUCGGUAUCCGGUCCUGGUGGGUUCGAUUCCCAUCCGCCUCCGCCA
rnacentral:tRNA from 1 species